UACUGUCUCAGCUUGCAAUUGGAAAUGACAAUGUGACUGGUAAUAUUUGACACUUGUAUCAAAGGAUCUAUGAUCUUUUUGCAUCAGAGAAAGCUUCAUGAAAAAUGGCAACUCACUGGUCAGAACUGUCAGCAACAUGUACAGAAACCUGAUUGAGAGGCAAAAUGAAAGAUGAGACCUGAUAUUUACCAAGUUCCAACAAGACAUGAAGAUAAUGAUGUGGAAAUGGAUGAACUGGGCACACAGACACAUCAUUUCACAAAGAGGAGCCAGGCCCCCUUCUUGGCUCCCGCCAGCUCCGUGCAAGGUGCAGCCUCCCCAGGGCUAAACCGGCCAGCCCAGGACUCACCUGACUGUCUUGACAGACCCUUAUGGCAGAGUGGCUGAGUGGACAGAUUUGCACACAAGCAUUGCACCUGGACAAACAGGACUCAAACUUGUCUGCUCCAAGGGCAAUAUUGCUCCACAGGAUCAUUUUACUGGCUGCAUCCUCAGCCAUCCAACAGAGAAAUUCCUUCUCAACUCAGUGUCUGUAAACCCCAAGAAUGCCUCUUGUGAGCAAGACAGACCACAGUGGUUUUGACAAUUUGGAAAGACCAUUAAAGUGAAA
rnacentral:lncRNA from 1 species